rnacentral:tRNA from 1 species
GUCCCUGUAGCGCAAUGAAUAGCGCUUUGGACUUCUAACCGAAAGGUCGUGGAUUCGAAUCCCACCUGGGAUG